AUUGAACGCUAGCGGCAUGCCUUACACAUGCAAGUCGAACGGAGUGGCGAACGGGUGAGUAAUGUAUCGGAACGUGCCCAGUCGCGGGGGAUAACUACGCGAAAGCGUAGCUAAUACCGCAUACUAUUGGCGCGGCCUGUAUCGGGUUAGCUAGUUGGGGGGGUAACGGCUCACCAAGGCGACGAGCCGUAGCUGGUUUGAGAGGACGACCAGCCACACUGGGACUGAGACACGGCCCAGACUCCUACGGGAGGCAGCAGUGGGGAAUAUUGGACAAUGGGGGAAAGCCUGAUCCAGCCAUGCCGCGUGUGCGAAGAAGGCCUUCGGGUUGUAAAGCACUUUUGGCAGGAAAGCGGUACCUGCAGAAUAAGCACCGGCUAACUACGUGCCAGCAGCCGCGGUAAUAC
rnacentral:rRNA from 1 species